CCAACAGGGCAAAGCGCAAGCACGUCUGCUGGAGGGAGGUGGAGGGGAGGAGAAGGCGCGGCGGGUCAUGUGGAGGAGAGCGUGCGCGGACGCCUUAUCCAUCCCGUCAACCCGCCGCCGAGCCGCCAAACCGCCGAGCCGCCAAACCGCCAAACCGCCAAAGUCGCCCGUCACGUGUCUUGUUGUGUGUCGUUUCACACCUCCUUUCUCCCCAAACCGUCUUUCAUGUUGCGUAUUUAUCAGAUACCUAAAAUGGAGAGUGCUACGAUAUAUCCCAUAUUGUGUACCUACGCGGUAGGUACUACAGGUAGUGCCAACGUGUAGACGAAGGUGGCUGCUGCUGAGCUGAGCUCCGUCACGUGAUUGCCUGUCGGCGCGGACAAAUAUCCCGUACUCGCUUCGUCUCUUGGUCUCUCCGCCUCUCAGUCUCUCGACUCGUGCACUCGUGCUGAUCAUGCACACUGCUCACUUUGCUAUUAUUAAUGUGUGGUGCCUGUGCUUGUACGUGCUGAGUGCAACAAGCUCCCCGCCAAAAAAACACCGGCUUCAUCCCAACCCGCGCCAAACCGCAACAAGGAACACAACCACAAGUGGCCGGAUCAGUUGAGGGCAGUACAGCACGGGUCCAUGUAUCGUGACAACGCGCUGACCGAAGGGAAAGUUGGUUUGUGUCCAGCGGCUGCUCCACAUCACGUGCAGCCCAUGACGUAAGAGGCGCAUGUCUCUUUAGCCGCUCGUACAGGCCCCUGCUCGGUUCUCCCAAACGCACAGGUGACCAUGUGGGCACAAUUUUCCGAGCGCUGAUGACGUCGUUGUGCGUGAGCUGCGAGAGGGCAGCAGGAGAUAUCAACAGCAGAAGAUAUCAACAGCAGGAGAUAUCAAUAGCAGGAGAUAUCAAUAGCAGGAGAGGGAAUGAGCGGCAGAAGGGGAUGAAGGGAAAGUGCAGUACGAGUACAAUACAAUACUAUUGUUGAUGUUGAUGUGCUCUUGGGUGCUAGACGUAUUCACGUCGCUAUGGUCUGACAAUUGAUGGUAAAGUACCGACCCUUGAUGGUACAGUAUUGUACGAGUACUAGUACAGUACAGAACUGACAAUUGAUGGUGCCGUAUCCACUGUACAGUACCGUACCUUGUCAUACUUGCUUAUGCUACACCUACGGUACAGCUUCUGAUGUAGAACACAACUGUGUGAAUAUCCAUACUGUAGAGAAGGGAUCGACUGGUUCUAUAGUUCCUAUACAUUGGUAGCCCUGCAGC
rnacentral:misc_RNA from 1 species